GUGCUUGCUUUGGCAGCACAUAUACUAAAAUUGGAAUGAUACACAAAAGAUUAGCAUGGCCCCUGCACAUGGAUGACACGCAAAUUCGUGAAGCGUUCCGUAUUUUG
ensembl:snRNA U6 U6 spliceosomal RNA